GACGAACGCUGGCGGCGCGCCUAACACAUGCAAGUCGAACGAGCGAGAGAGAGCUUGCUUUCUCGAGCGAGUGGCGAACGGGUGAGUAACGCGUGAGGAACCUGCCUCAAAGAGGGGGACAACAGUUGGAAACGACUGCUAAUACCGCAUAAGCCCACGACCCGGCAUCGGGUAGAGGGAAAAGGAGCAAUCCGCUUUGAGAUGGCCUCGCGUCCGAUUAGCUAGUUGGUGAGGUAACGGCCCACCAAGGCGACGAUCGGUAGCCGGACUGAGAGGUUGAACGGCCACAUUGGGACUGAGGAACGGCCCAGAAUCCUACGGGAGGCAGGAAGGGGGAAUGGUGCAAAAUGGGGGAAACCCUGAUGGAGCGACGCCGGGAGGAGGAAGAAGGUCGUCGGAUUGUAAACUCCUGUUGUUGAGGAAGAUAAUGACGGUACUCAACAAGGAAGUGACGGCUAACUACGUG
rnacentral:rRNA from 1 species